AUCAUAGAAUGUUAAGCACUUUACCGUGACUUGAGUUUAGAUUAAAGAGACCUAUUAAGAAUAGAUUUCUUGUAGGCUUUGAACGUCAGGAGGAUUAGCACUGCUAUUCCGAUUCAGAGAUAAGGUUAAACGACAGGCUUUGCCUAAACAGGUGGGCUUAUUUUUCCAAAUGUAUGAUUUAGCUAUUGAGCUUAAAUGUUCGUGAAAUAUAAACUGUUUAUCCAAUAAAAUGUUUAUGUGCACUCUGCUCUAAUGCUCGAUACAAUGAAUCAAUUGAGGUUCUCUUAUAGCCUAACACGUUAUUUGAGAAUUGUGUACACCGUUAGCUAACUCGGUGGGUUGAUCUCCAUUCGGGCACUAACUAAGAGGCGUUAUAAGGGUGCUUGCUGGAUGUGUUCCGAAGCAUGUAAUGAAAGGGCUUGCCUGGGUAGCGUCCCGAGGUCAAAAGUAAACUUGUCUGGGUUACGCCCUCAGUUCAAGUAAAUGGGAGAAAGGAUCCGUCGGUGGCUAAAAGGUCCGGGAUCAUAGCGAGUAACAGAAAUGAGUGUGACAACUGCGCGCAAAUUAAGUAUAUAUAUGAAAUAAAUGUUUUAACAUGCUUAGAAGUUCUUUCCUUUAAAAACCUUCUAAGUCAUGUCAAGUAUGAUUGGAUAAACUGCCCUUCAGAUUAUGAAAUGUUUCAAAAGUUGCUAGCCCACUAAGUACAUUAGUACUUAGCCCAAAUAUCUUCAAAUGUUUUUCAGGUUAACGGCUGGUGCUGACGGGGCGAGCUGAGGCUAGGGUUCAACUCCGUGUUUUGACUUCUGCUGUAGAACUAGUUAAUAUAUG
rnacentral:lncRNA from 1 species